AUAACAUCAAAGAGCAAGAAACGCAAUCAUGGAAGCACCCACACGAAACCCUAGUUUGCCUUCUCCACCAUAAUCGCGAAAACCCCUUCAUUGAACAUAAGACCAAAAAAUGCAAAAAUCCUAAAUCAUCAUCCAUAUCCACGACCCUCCUCCACGUGAACCACACCACCGCAAAAUCUCCUUCAUCUUCACACCCAACCUGUAAUAUCAAAGAACCAUAAACGCAGCCAUGGAAGCACCUACAUGAAACCCCCUCCAUUGCACCUUUAUCUUCAUGAACCUACAAACCCAAAAUGCAUAUAACUUCCCAAAUUAGAUAGCCAUUCGCGAAUCAUCAACACUCAAUCAAGUUCACUCCCCC
rnacentral:lncRNA from 1 species